GUCGUGGCAGGCACUUUUAGGCCUGGUGGGUGUGGCCCUGCCAGCUGACCGGUCCCACCCAGGAAUCCACACACACCUGGCGCCGAUCAAGCCUCGUCAGAGGAGCUUCAAAACAGUGUGGCUGAGAGCUCCUCGACGCUGGAUUGUUGAGUGACUUCCCGAGGAAUUGUGGCGACCAGGAGGCAGCACACGGAGAGUACACAGGGAACGGAGACAGAGCACGGAGCACGGGAUAAAGGAGAAGACACGGAACGGGAGUUGGGAUCGCACGGGGGGAUUUAUUGUUGUUCGGAUUGUCACCACUGUAAAUAAACACUGUUGCACUGUA